rnacentral:rRNA from 1 species
UACGUAGGGUGCAAGCGUUAAUCGGAAUUACUGGGCGUAAAGCGUGCGCAGGCGGUCUUGUAAGUCAGAUGUGAAAUCCCCGGGCUUAACCUGGGAACUGCGUUUGAAACUACAAGGCUAGAGUGUGGCAGAGGGGGGUGGAAUUCCACGUGUAGCAGUGAAAUGCGUAGAGAUGUGGAGGAACACCGAUGGCGAAGGCAGCCCCCUGGGUUAACACUGACGCUCAGGCACGAAAGCGUGGGGAGCAAACAGG